CGUUUUCACUGGAUUUUCUAGUGAAAAUUCUUAUUUAAUAAACUAAGAAACUAUACAAAGCCCGAUCCCGAUGCUAAUGGGAAAUCCAAGUUAUGAACAGAGAGACGUAGGUGGCCGGGAUGGGAUCUAGGAAUGCAUUAGAACAUUUCAUUUAUGUUACCCUAAUAAGUGCACUUGCACAACAACUUUAGUUUUCUUUAAAUUCUCAGUCAUUGUAUCUUUUAUAAUUAAAUUUUCUAAAUAACUGUUUCCGCAUUUAUUAAAAACUCUGAGUUUUAAAAUCAUUAUUAUUUUUAUUUA